AUUUAUAUACUGCCUAAGGUAUUUCACAAAUUCAUAGUUGUGAAAAUUUUCAUCAGUUUCCUCCAAAUGCAAGAGAAUCUCUUCUGCACAUUCCACUGACGGAGCCCCAGUGAUUUUUUCCUUCACGCUUUGCAGCAAUUGUCUAAGCAUGGACUGUAACAAAGCUUCAUCUUCAUUUGUGAACUGAGACAUCUCGGGGCGGCGGUGCCCUCCCUUCGCGGCGGCCGCACGUCUCCCCCAGUCGCGGCCCGUAGCAACCGGCG
rnacentral:lncRNA from 1 species